rnacentral:rRNA from 1 species
AGGGCACCACCAGGAGUGGAGCCUGCGGCUUAAUUUGACUCAACACGGGAAAACUCACCCGGCCCGGACACCGUGAGGAUUGACAGAUUGAUAGCUUUUUCAUGAUUCGGUGGUUGGUGGUGCAUGGCCGUUCUUAGUUCGUGGAUCGAUUUGUCUGGUUUAUUCCGAUAACGAGCGAGACUCCAGCCUACUAACUAGUGCGAGCAUUGUCUCUGUGCUUGUCACUUCUUAGAGGGAUUGGCUGCGUCUAGCGGCACGAAACGGAGCAAUAACAGGUCUGUGAUGCCCUUAGAUGUCCGGGGCUGCACGCGCGCUACACUGGCAAAAGCAGCGUGCUUGUCCGCCUCCGAAAGGAGCCGGUAAACCCUUGAAAAUUUGCCGUGAUUGGGAUCGGAAAUUGCAAUUAUUUUCCGUGAACGAGGAAUUCCUAGUAAGUGCGAGUCAUCAGCUCGCGUUGAUUACGUCCCUGCCCUUUGUACACACCGCCCGUCGCUGCCUAGAACUGAGCCAUUUCGAGAA